rnacentral:rRNA from 1 species
UACGAAGGGGGCUAGCGUUGCUCGGAAUCACUGGGCGUAAAGGGUGCGUAGGCGGGUCUUUAAGUCAGGGGUGAAAUCCUGGAGCUCAACUCCAGAACUGCCUUCGAUACUGAGAGACUUGAGUCCGGGAGAGGUGAGUGGAACUGCGAGUGUAGAGGUGAAAUUCGUAGAUAUUCGCAAGAACACCAGUGGCGAAGGCGGCUCACUGGCCCGGUACUGACGCUGAGGUGCGAAAGCGUGGGGAGCAAACAGG